UUGGCGCUCACCUUUGCUUUAGAUUCAGAAACUCCUGCAGAAAUACCACACCAAACUCGCAAUUCGAACAAAACACCACACUGAACUGCUCAUAUUUAGUUCAGCAUAAUCUGGAAUAACCAUUCAAAUGAAAUCCCAUGAAUAUUUUGUGACCAAGGGAACAGAAAUCAGACCAGUCUUGAGAAGUCAUUUACAAAGAAAAGCCUAAUUUUUGAAGUUUCCUGCGCAAAACAGAGAUGUAAUGCAUGACAGAUUAUAGAAUUGCAAAUUUCUGUUAAUAAAGGAAAUGCAUAGGAUAAUCUAUAGUACUUGGGCUUGUUGCCUGCUCAUCCUAAACAAGAACACUUUAUUAAAUCCAUUGUUUUUUAUAAUCUACAAUAAUUAAUACCUCAGCAGGGC
rnacentral:lncRNA from 1 species